CACGUAGGCGGAUCGGUAAGUCAGAUGUGAAAUCCCGGAGCUUAACUCCGGAACUGCAUUUGAUACUACUUGUCUUGAGUAUGGUAGAGGGGGGUGGAAUUCCCGGUGUAGAGGUGAAAUUCGUAGAUAUCGGGAGGAACACCAGAGGCGAAGGCGACCCCCCUGGGCCAUAACUGACGCUGAGGUGCGAAAGCGUGGGGAGCAAACAG
rnacentral:rRNA from 1 species